rnacentral:rRNA from 1 species
AACGAACGCUGGCGGCAUGCCUAACACAUGCAAGUCGAACGAGACCUUCGGGUCUAGUGGCGCACGGGUGCGUAACGCGUGGGAAUCUGCCCUUGGGUUCGGAAUAACUUCGGGAAACUGAAGCUAAUACCGGAUGAUGACGUAAGUCCAAAGAUUUAUCGCCCAAGGAUGAGCCCGCGUAGGAUUAGCUAGUUGGUGAGGUAAAGGCUCACCAAGGCGACGAUCCUUAGCUGGUCUGAGAGGAUGAUCAGCCACACUGGGACUGAGACACGGCCCAGACUCCUACGGGAGGCAGCAGUGGGGAAUAUUGGACAAUGGGCGAAAGCCUGAUCCAGCAAUGCCGCGUGAGUAAUGAAGGCCUUAGGGUUGUAAAGACUCUUUUUACCCGGGAUGAUAAUGACAGUACCGGGAGAAUAAGCUCCGGCUAACUCCGUGCCAGCAGCCGCGGUAAUGUGACUACUG